rnacentral:sRNA from 1 species
GCCAGUGCUACUGUGGGCACAUGUAGUCCCAGCUGCUCAGGAGGCUGAGGCAGGAGGAUCACUCGAGUCAAGGAUUUGAGACCAGCCAGGGCAACAGAGGGAGACCCUUUCUCAA